rnacentral:rRNA from 1 species
CCACCCCUACGGGGGGCAGCAGUGGGGAAUAUUGCACAAUGGGGGAAACCCUGAUGCAGCGACGCCGCGUGGGUGAAGGAGCGUUUCGGCGCGUAAAGCCCUAUCGGCAGGGAAGAAGAUGACGGUACCUGACCAAGAAGCCCCGGCUAACUACGUGCCAGCAGCCGCGGUAAUACGUAGGGGGCAAGCGUUAUCCGGAUUUACUGGGUGUAAAGGGGGCGCAGACGGCAAUGCAAGCCAGGAGUGAAAGCCCGGGGCCCAACCCCGGGACUGCUCUUGGAACUGCCUGGCUGGGGGACAGGAGG